UACGAAGGGGGCUAGCGUUGUUCGGAAUUACUGGGCGUAAAGCGCACGUAGGCGGAUACUUAAGUUAGGGGUGAAAUCCCGGGGCUCAACCCCGGAACUGCCUUUAAUACUGGGUAUCUCGAGUUCGAGAGAGGUGAGUGGAAUUCCGAGUGUAGAGGUGAAAUUCGUAGAUAUUCGGAGGAACACCAGUGGCGAAGGCGGCUCACUGGCCCGGAACUGACGCUGAGGUACGAAAGCGUGGGGAGCAAACAGG
rnacentral:rRNA from 1 species